rnacentral:misc_RNA from 1 species
UACGGAGGGAGCGAGCGUUGUUCGGAAUUACUGGGCGUAAAGGGCGCGUAGGCGGCCUUGUAAGUCGGAUGUGAAAUGCCGGGGCUCAACUCCGAGCACUGCAUCCGAUACUGCAUGGCUAGAGAGAGGUAGAGGCGAGCGGAAUUCCCGGUGUAGCGGUGGAAUGCGUAGAUAUCGGGAAGAACACCUGUGGCGAAGGCGGCUCGCUGGGCCUUUUCUGACGCUGAAGCGCGAAAGCGUGGGGAGCAAACAGG